UAACAAACAAUUGCAACAAACAUGAAUCUAAGGGAUACAAAUAGAGAAGCCUACCAUCCUGACUCAUCAAUGCGUGCCAUAUUUUUUAUGGUCUAGUGCAGUUAGUAUUGUACAAAGGGUGCAAAAUUCUAGGUAUCCUAUAUAUUCACCGUGACCCUAUUUUCUCCUGAAUGGAGGAGGAUUCCUAUGACUGUGUGCUGUAUUUCAAAAAAAUGAAAGUGUCAAUGUCAUUCUCUGCUAACAGCGAUGAUGAAGGCAGUGACAAUGUCCUUUCUGCCAAACAGGUGAUAGUCCUUCCCUUACCUAAUCAUCC
rnacentral:lncRNA from 1 species